rnacentral:piRNA from 1 species
UCGUAUAUGAGACACAUUGUAUAGCUUC